rnacentral:rRNA from 1 species
UCGGAUUGUAGUCUGCAACCCGGCUACAUGAAGCUGGAAUCGCUAGUAAUCGCGGAUCAGAAUGCCGCGGUGAAUACGUUCCCGGGUCUUGUACACACCGCCCGUCACACCAUGGGAGUCGGAAAUGCCCGAAGUCUGUGACCCAACCUCAGGGAGGGAGCAGCCGAAGGCAGGUCGGAUGACUGGGGUGAAGUCGUAACAAGGUAAC